AGGUCCGUGGUGUAAUGGUAGCACAGCAGAUUUUGGUUCUGCUUGUCGGGGUUCAAAUCCCUGCGGACCUGCCA
rnacentral:tRNA from 1 species